AUGGCGAGAAGACGUAGCAGCGAGUCGAGUGAGGAUGACGUGAGGAAACGCAGUGGUAGUGAAUAUGAGGAUGAGGAGAGGGAUAGGUAUCGGUGCGGUGGUGGGAGUAGUAAGAAGAAUUCCGGUCACUGUGGUGACAGUGAUUUGGGGGAAGAACGGAACGGAGCUAUGAAGGGUGGUGGGAUGCUAAGUGAUAGGAAGAGUAAGAGUAGGGAGAGAACGGAGGAGUUUGAGAGCUCUGAGGAGGAGGGUCAGAUUGUGAACAAAGAGAGGUGGCGUGGAGGGACAGAAGAUGAAGGAGAUGUCCGGGGUGGUAGGGAAUGUCGUCGAGGGAAUGCUCCGGGUGAAAGGCGAGGGGAGAAGGAGAAUCACAGGGAGCUGGCCAAGAAAUCAGAAAGGGAUAGAGAUAGGGAUAGGGAUAGGAGGCAUAAAUUUGAAAGGGGUGGCCUCAAUGAGAGGGAUGGCCGCGCUCGUCAUGAUUCGGAAGAAGAAGAUGAUAGGGAGUUGGGUAGGAAAUCAGAGAGGGAUAGGGAUAGGAAUAGGAGGCAGGGAGAAGGAUGUGAGCAGGCGGCAAGAAGAAAGUAGGAAGAAAGAGGACAGAAAUGGAAGAAUGGUUGAAGAUGCAAAUCCUCAAUGACAGGCAACAAUACCGGGAGGUAACCUGAAUGGUGAUGCAUCUAAUUUGGGCAAGAAUGGAGUUGUUUACAUUCCCCCUUUAAGCUGGCAAUGAUGAUGAAAGAAGUUCAGGAUAAAAGUAGUGUAGAAUAUCAAAGGUUGACGUGGGAUGCUCUGAGAAAGAGCAUUAAUGGGCUUGUAAAUAAGGUUAAUGCUACUAAUAUAAAAAUAUAAUUCCAGAAUUGUUUUCGGAAAACCUGAUCAGGGGAAGGGGACUCUUUUGUUGGUCAUGUAUGAAGUCGCAGAUGGCAUCUCCAGGAUUUAUGGAUGUUUUUGCUGCCUUGGUUGCUGUUGUUAAUACCAAGUUUCUGAGGAAGGGGAUCUUUUACUGAGAAGGAUUGUUUUGCAGCUUAAGAGAGCUUAUAAGUGAAUGACAAGCCUCAAUUACUAGCAGCUGUCAAAUUUGCAGCACAUUUGGUGAAUCAACAAGUGGCUAAUGAGAUAAUUGCUCUAGAGUUACUCACAGUUUUACUCUAGAAACCUACUGAUGACAGUGUUGAAGUAGCUGUUGGUUUUGUCACUGAAUGUGGUUCAAUACUGCAGGAUCUCUCACCUAAAGGCCUUCAUGGUGGCUAUUCCUUUGAACUAUAUGGCAACAAUGUAUCUUUUGAGUGUUUUCGUAGAAUUCUUCAUGAAGGAGAAAUUGACAAAGCGAAGUUUCAGGAAGAUCAGAUAACUCAUGAAGUCUCCUUGGAUGAGGAGAUAGAUCCAGAGAUUUCCCUUGAUAUAUUCAAGCCAGACCCCAAUUUCUUGGAGAACGAAAAGUGUUAUGAAGAGUUGAAGAAAUCAAUGCUGGGCGAGGAGUUUGAGGAUGAUGAGGAAGGCUUGGAUGCUGAGUCAGAUGAUGACGAUGAAGAUGAAGAGUCUGAUGAAGAGGAAGAAGAACAGAUGCAAAUAAAAGAUGAAACAGAGACAAAUCUUGUCAAUCUUCGAAGGACAAUAUACUUAACAAUUAUGUUUAGUGUUGAUUUUGAGGAAGCCGGUCAUAAGCUUCUGAAAAUUAAGCUAGAGCCGGGUCAAGAGAUGGAAUUGUGCAUUAUGCUUUUGGAAUGUUGCAGCCAAAGAGAGAACUUAUCUUCGAUAUUAUGGUCUUCUGGGCCAGCGUUUCUGCAUGAUCAACAAAGUACACCAAGAAAAUUUUAAAAUGUGUUUUGUGUAGCAGUACUCAAUGAUUCACUGUCUUGAAACAAAUAAACUGCGAAAUGUGGCAAAGUUUUUUUCUCAUUUACUUGGCACAGAUGCUCUACCUUGGCAUGUUUUAUCUUAUAUACGCUUGACUGAAGAGGACACAACUUCUUCACGUAUAUUUAUUAAGAUUCUCUUCCAGGUACUGAGUUUCUUUAUGCACUUGCUUCAUUAUUUCACUAUGUUUGAAUUAUGAGGUUUAGAAAUAUACUUUUCUUACAAUGAGACCUGCAGAAAUUACGGGGCUUGUCUUCUAGAUUGCAUAAAUUAUGCCUGCAUCUCUGUAUGUGGAAGAUGUUGGUUUCAGUUUAUGAUGUUGCAGGAAUUAUCAGAACAUCUUGGAAUCCAGCUGCUAAAUGAGCGGUUAAAUGAUCCAACAAUCCUAGAAUCUUUUGAAUCCAUAUUUCCAAAAGAUAAUCCAAAAAACACACGGUUCUGCAUUAACUUCUUUACAUCCAUUGGUCUUGGUGGUCUUGAAGGAUAUGCCACGUCUUAACCUGCUAUAACAGAAACAAGGUUCAGAAUCUGCAUCAGAUGAUGAGUCAGGGAGUUCUGAUUCAUCAGAUUCUGGAUCAGCUAGUUCAGAGUCAGACUCAGCAAGUUCUGAUGAAAGUGAUGGUGAGAGUGACAGAAGACAAAGAAACCAGAGGAGAAAGUGAAGCAAAUUUAUGCUAUUGGCGAAGGCCCUUGCAUCCACAAAACUGAUUGAUGUAUCCAUGGUUUCUCAAUCUUUAAAUCACUGAAUUAACUGUGAAAGGAAUAUUUGGGCUUGCUCGGCAAGUGAAAACUGUGGCAUGUGCUGUGCUGUUUGAGCAAAUUUGACAUGGUUCACAUUGGUCCAUGAUCACCCCUUCGUCAUCGUCAGAUCUUGAAAGAUCCAAUGGCUAACAUGGCAGCGGGAACAACAACUGAAGAGAGAGAGAAGUGUGAAGUUGGUGAAGGUUUUUGAGAAGAUGGAACGAAGUGGUGGAAUGAUAACUGGGUUGCGAGAAAGGAAAAACUUGCUAGAGUUAGACACGGUUCUGAUAGUGGGGUCGGUGUUUCUGGCUUUGUUUCAACACUUUUACUUCAUAGGACUUCUAAUGAAGUCUAUUUUUUUUUGUUUUUCUUUUUUGGGUGUGGGAGUUUUGUUCAAAGUUUGAGUUUUUAUGCUUGCAAUGGAAAUGAGCCAUUGUCAAGAGUUUAUGUUUCCUUAACGACAUAAAAUUCUUUUUACCGGUACCAUUAUGAUUGCAAAGAUAAUGUUUUGGGUCUCGAA